rnacentral:lncRNA from 1 species
GCCACUUGCCAGGAGGCCACACCUUAGCAGGUUCAUACUUCUACAGCAUUCUUAUACAAGCCAGGACUACCUGCCUAAGAAAUGGUACCACUCACUGUGGGUUCUGCCUUCUCACAUCAAUUAACAAGACAACCCCUCAACAAACAUCUUCUGGGCAAUUGGGUUGAUGAGUAUGACCAGAUGACCCUAGGUUAUGUCAAGAUGAAAAUAAAAAGAAAUUAAGAGGCCA